ACUCCUACGGGAGGCAGCAGUGGGGAAUCUUGGACAAUGGGCGCAAGCCUGAUCCAGCCAUGCCGCGUGAGUGAAGAAGGCCCUAGGGUCGUAAAACUCUUUCGCCAGGGAUGAUAAUGACAGUACCUGGUAAAGAAACCCCGGCUAACUCCGUGCCAGCAGCCGCGGUAAUACGGAGGGGGUUAGCGUUGUUCGGAAUUACUGGGGCGUAAAGCGUACGUAGGCGGAUUAGUCAGUCAGAGGUGAAAUCCCAGGGGCUCAACCCUGGAACUGCCUUUGAUACUGCUAGUCUUGAGUUCGAGAGAGGUGAGUGGAAUUCCAAGUGUAGAGGUGAAAUUCGUAGAUAUUUGGAGGAACACCAGUGGCGAAGGCGGCUCACUGGCUCGAUACUGACGCUGAGGUACGAAAGUGUGGGGAGCAAACAGGAUUAGAUACCCUGGUAGCGACUGA
rnacentral:rRNA from 1 species